UAGGGAAUCUUCCGCAAUGGACGCAAGUCUGACGGAGCAACGCCGCGUGAGUGAAGAAGGUUUUCGGAUCGUAAAACUCUGUUGUUAGAGAAGAACAAGUGCUAGAGUAACUGUUAGCGCCUUGACGGUAUCUAACCAGAAAGCCACGGCUAACUACGUGCCAGCAGCCGCGGUAAUACGUAGGUGGCAAGCGUUGUCCGGAUUUAUUGGGCGUAAAGCGAGCGCAGGCGGUUCCUUAAGUCUGAUGUGAAAGCCCCCGGCUCAACCGGGGAGGGUCAUUGGAAACUGGGGAACUUGAGUGCAGAAGAGGAGAGUGGAAUUCCAUGUGUAGCGGUGAAAUGCGUAGAUAUAUGGAGGAACACCAGUGGCGAAGGCGACUCUCUGGUCUGUAACUGACGCUGAGGCUCGAAAGCGUGGGUAGCAAACAGGAUUAGAUACCCUGGUAGUCCACGCCGUNNCGAUGAGUGCUAAGUGUUGGAGGGUUUCCGCCCUUCAGUGCUGCAGUUAACGCAUUAAGCACUCCGCCUGGGGGGUACGACCGCAAGGUU
rnacentral:rRNA from 1 species